rnacentral:rRNA from 1 species
CCUACGGGCGGCUGCAGUGAGGGAUAUUGGUCAAUGGACGAAAGUCUGAACCAGCCACGUAGCGUGAAGGAUGACUGCCCUAUGGGUUGUAAACUUCUUUUAUAUGGGAAUAAAAUGUUCCACGUGUGGGAUUUUGUAUGUACCAUAUGAAUAAAGAUCGGCUAACUCCGUGCCAGCAGCCGCGGUAAUACGGAGGAUCCGAGCGUUAUCCGGAUUUAUUGGGUUUAAAGGGAGCGUAGGUGGAUUGUUAAGUCAGUUGUGAAAGUUUGCGGCUCAACCGUAAAAUUGCAGUUGAAACUGGCAGUCUUGAGUAAAGUAGAGGUGGGCGGAAUUCGUGGUGUAGCGGUGAAAUGCUUAGAUAUCACGAAGAACGCCGAUGGCGAAGGCAGCUCACUGGACUGCAACUGACACUGAGGCUCGAAAGUGUGGGUAGCAAACAGGAUUAGAUACCCUUGUAGUC